CGGGGUUCCUGACUAGCAGUCAGACGGUCAGACCGGGUCUGACAGGUGUGCAUUUGGCAAAAUGCCAGACUUUUGUGCCGCCUACGGAUGUUCCCGUGAAAGAAACGCCGAAAUGAAGAAACAUGGAUUAACAUUUCACAAGUAGUGCCUCUGGCCAGCCAGUGUAUGCAUCCACGGCUACCAAGAGCCGCAAUGAGUUGGCCCGUGUGCUUCCUGGAGCACCACUGAUGUCAGUCCUGGAGGGAGAACUGGUCUCCCCUCUGGUCCCCUCCACAACUCAUCGGCCUUGAGUGCUCCCCUGCUUAUCCAAACACUCUGAUCAUAUGGGGAGGUUUUUUCCUGUUCUUUUCUCAACAUGUCUUUGUCACAGGGGGGCAAUAUGUCAUAUACUGUCUUUCCUGCUUGCAUCAUCAUGUACUGUGUACCAUAGCCGGCUUUCUGUUUUGCCGCUUGGUCUGCUGCGUCAUUUCCUCUAGCUGUCAUAUCAUCGCCUGUAGUUCUUCUAACUGAGCUGAUACUUUUCCUGUUACUGUUUCUGCUUUUACUGUCUCGAACCCCCUUUCUGUCUGUCUCACCACUGCCCAAGCUGCUUUUAACCCUUCUGUUGGAUGUCUGAAGCAGCAUCCAUCUGUGAACAGUGUCUCCUCUGCAUCUCCUAUCGGCUGACUCUGCAAAUCUAUUCUCACCCUCAGAUCUUUCUGUACUCUUUCUUCACACAAAUGAGGCUCCCCUUCCCCCCACCUGGCUCACCGAUGUCAGAGGUUCCUGGGCCUCGUCAUUGUUCUUGGUGGUAAUGGGGACCCUCUACCCAAUCAGGGAUUGGAUACAAGUCAUGGUCGUUGCGGGUGCCUAGGGAGGGGUAUUGUCCUCUAGGGGCUGCGGCAGUAUUUGGAGCUUGGUGACGUACGUCACCUGGUGGUGGGCCAUAUCCCUGCUGUGGUGGACCAUACCCUGGUUGUUGUGGGUAGUUAUUUUGGGGUGGUGUAUCUAUUCGGCAGUGUCUUGCCCAGUGACCUGGUUGACCACAGAUCCAGCAUAGACCACGGGGUUGUUGUGGUGCCAUGCCUCUAUCUCGCCCUCCCGCUCUAAACCCUCCCCUUUCCAUCUGUCGUGGAGGUUGAGCAUACAUGUGCUGCACGGGCGGGUACGCCGGCGCAGGAGGAGCCAUCGGCUGCUGUAACAUUUGAGUGUUUGAUUUUGUUAUUUUCUUAGCUUCAGUUAGCUUACGGCACUCAUUCUCUAGUUGUUAUACAUAAAUCCCAGCCAUUUGUUAGCUGGCUGAAUUUAUCCAUCUAUUUGUGGCCCCCCUCUGUGGGGGCUGGUAUUUUCUCUAAAAUGCAAUUCAUGUCUGUGAAUGAAAAUGGUUAAUACACUAUAUUUCCAUUGCUCUUGGCGAUGAGUGGCAUUGCAAGUGAUGGCAGUUUUUUGACCGAUUUUAACAUGUUGGGAUGGGUGCUUUUGUGUAUGUGAGCGUGUGUUGUGUAACAAAGCCGACAGCAUGGGUGAUUGACCCCUCUCACAUUCCUGUGAAGAUGAUAUAUCUUGCUCUGGCUGGUUGUGGUAUAUGACUAGCUGCCCUGACAUCUGUGCCUCACAUAUUUGUUGGUUUGGUUCAUAUUCUUCCUCUCCAUAUGUACUCUCUUCCUCCUCUGAUUCGCCCCCACCCUUGCCACUCUCUCCUAUUCUCCUGUCUAUCUUUGCCUGGAAUGGUCCUGCUGGACUCCCUGUCUGAUUUUUCUCCCCCCUCUCGCGCUGCUUUUGCUCCCUGUGCUGCUCUACAUAAGUCCCCGCAGUAUUUCUCCUAUCUUUCUCUCUUUCACUCCCUUGUUUGCCCCUUUAUUAUCUUCUGUAACUCUUCAAAUUGCUCUGUUGUCCCUUCAAAGAUGUUCCCCUCUAAAUCCAAUUGGCCUGGAUUAACUGUGAUUACCGGAGCCUGUAUUGCUCCUGGACGGGUGUCUGUGUACGGCGGAGAGGCCGGGGUAUAAGGACGGUUGUCGAGGUAUGGGGGGUAUGUGUAUAAGGGCAAUGGUCCCGGCUCCAUAGGUGGAGCAGUCUUGGUCACAGUCGUGGUCGCAGUCUUUGUCUGUGCUCCUAUUGCUGCGCAGGCUAAUGAUAUUGCGUGUACUGAAGCUCUCUUUCUGUCUAACUCCUCUGAAGUCUUCUUCCACUUUAUCUUGGCCAGCCAGCCCUGUUGUACUCCAGUGUCCUGCUUUUCUAGCUCGUCUGCCACAGUCUUCUCUGCGGUAGCGCUAUCUCUCCAA